GAGUAUACUACAUGAGUUUAAUGAGCAAGACAAGGAUGAUAUACCCCAAGAUUUAAAAGAGGUGCCAGAAGAACACAUUAAGACUCCAGAGGAGCAGCUCCCUGGGAAGAUAUCUACUCAGCCUUCCUUUUCUAAUUCAGAUAACAUUACCGUGACAGAAUGGCAGAAAGACCUUAUUAACUCUCCUUUCCCUGAAGCCAAGGUGGAUGGCUUACUUAGCAGAACUCCAUCCAAGAAGAUUGAAGAGACCGAACCCCAAGACCUAAAGGAGAAAACAGAGGAACAGAUGGAAAAUUUGACGGAUAUUUACGCGGACAAGUUCGAAAGUAGGUCUUCUCUAUACCUCCCUGUCCAGUCACGGAAGAAGAAAAGACGGUAAGCAUGCAACACUGAGCCCAGGAUAUUCUCCAAAACUUACAGAAAUUUACGGAUGCCUCCGAAAACAUCACUCCUCACCCGAACAGCAAAACCCAAGACUGUUGACAAAGCAAUCCAGUGUAAUAAGUUGCUCAUGCCACGCCUGCCACUGCCUGGAACAAUACCACCUCCAAGAAGCUUGAUUCAAAAAGCGAAGCCUAUAUUCACCGAAGAUAAAACAACCGAGAUUUCCCCCUCCUUUGAGAGGCUUCGUAGGAGCACGCCUCCUUGGAUUAUUAAGAGAAGAACAGAGGACAACAUAAUUUCCCGGGUCUCUCCAAGGAAGACCAGCCCAUCCAGCUUGCCCCAAAAGAGCAGAUGCCAUUACAAAAAGGUAGCGACAGCCAGGUAGGAAUUCCUAAUGUGGUAAGACAAACAUUUCAGUCCCUAUAUCUCUUACU
rnacentral:lncRNA from 11 species